UACGUAGGGGGCAAGCGUUGUCCGGAAUCAUUGGGCGUAAAGAGCGUGUAGGCGGCUCGGUAAGUCUGCUGUGAAAGUCCAGGCUCAACCCUGGGAUGCCGGUGGAUACUGUCGAGCUCGAGUCCGGAAGAGGCGAGUGGAAUUCCUGGUGUAGCGGUGAAAUGCGCAGAUAUCAGGAGGAACACCAAUGGCGAAGGCAGCUCGCUGGGACGUGACUGACGCUGAGACGCGAAAGCGUGGGGAGCAAACAGG
rnacentral:rRNA from 1 species